rnacentral:rRNA from 1 species
UACGUAGGGAGCAAGCGUUGUCCGGAUUUAUUGGGCGUAAAGCGCUCGUAGGCGGUUUAGAAAGUCAGGUGUGAAACCUCCAGGCUCAACCUGGAGACGCCACUUGAUACUUCUAUGACUUGAGUUUGGUAGGGGAACACGGAAUUCCUGGUGUAGCGGUGAAAUGCGCAGAUAUCAGGAGGAACACCGAUGGCGAAGGCAGAUCUCUGGGCCGUAACUGACGCUGAGGAGCGAAAGCGUGGGGAGCGAACAGG